rnacentral:rRNA from 1 species
GACGAACGCUGGCGGCGUGCUUAACACAUGCAAGUCGAGCGGUAAGGCCCUUUCGGGGGUACACGAGCGGCGAACGGGUGAGUAACACGUGGGUGACCUGCCCUCAGCUCUGGGAUAAGCCUGGGAAACCGGGUCUAAUACCGGAUAUGACUCCAUGACGCAUGUUGUGGGGUGGAAAGCCUUGUGCGGCUGGGGAUGGGCCCGCGGCCUAUCAGCUUGUUGGUGGGGUGAUGGCCUACCAAGGCGACGACGGGUAGCCGGCCUGAGAGGGCGACCGGCCACACUGGGACUGAGACACGGCCCAGACUCCUACGGGAGGCAGCAGUGGGGAAUCUUGCGCAAUGGGCGAAAGCCUGACGCAGCGACGCCGCGUGAGGGAUGACGGCC